rnacentral:lncRNA from 1 species
UGCAUGUGCCUAUGAAGUGUGCUGGGUCUGUGAGGUGUGCACGGGUCUGUGAGAUGUGCAUGGGUCUGUGAGGUGUGCACGUGCCUAUGAUGUGUGCACGUGCCUAUGAAGUGUGCUGGGUCUGUGAGGUGUGCACGGGUCUGUGAGGUGUGCAUGGGUCUGUGAGGUGUGCACGUGCCUAUAAUGUGUGCACGUGCCUAUGAAGUGUGCUGGGUCUGUGAGGUGUGCACGUGCCUAUGAAGUGUGCUGGGUCUGUGAGGUGUGAAUGUGUCUAUGAGGUGUGCAUGUGCCUAUGAAGUGUGCUGGGUCUGUGAGGUGUGCACGGGUCUGUGAGAUGUGCAUGGGUCUGUGAGGUGUGCACGUGCCUAUGAAGUGUGCUGGAUCUGUGAGGUGUGCAUAGGUCUGUGACGUGCUGGGUCUGUGAGGUGUGUACGGGUCUGUGAGGUGUGCACAUGCCUAUGAAGUGUGCUGGGUCUGUGAGGUGUGAAUGUGUCUAUGAGGUGUGCAUGUGCCUAUGAAGUGUGCUGGGUCUGUGAGGUGUGCACGGGUCUGUGAGGUGUGCACGGGUCUGUGAGGUGUGCACGUGCCUAUGAGGUGUGCUGGAUCUGUGAGGUGUGCACGGGUCUGUGAGGUGUGCAUGGGUCUGUGAGGUGUGCACGUGCCUAUGAAGUGUGCUGGAUCUGUGAGGUGUGCACGGGUCUGUGAGGUGUGCAUGGGUCUGUGAGGUGUGCACGUGCCUAUGAAGUGUGCUGGAUCUGUGAGGUGUGCACGGGUCUGUGAGGUGUGCAUGGGUCUGUGAGGUGUGCACGUGCCUAUGAAGUGUGCUGGAUCUGUGAGGUGUGCACGGGUCUGUGAGGUGUGCAUGGGUCUGUGAGGUGUGCACGUGCCUAUGAAGUGUGCUGGAUCUGUGAGGUGUGCAUAGGUCUGUGACGUGCUGGGUCUGUGAGGUGUGUACGGGUCUGUGAGGUGUGCAUGGGUCUGUGACAUGUGCUGGGUCUGUGAGGUGUGCACGGGUCUGUGAGGUGUGCACGUGCCUAUGAAGUGUGCUGGGUCUGUGAUGUGUGCACAGGUCUGUGAGGUGUGCACGGGUCUGUGAGGUGUGCAUGGGUCUGUGAGGUGUGCACGUGCCUAUGAAGUGUGCUGGAUCUGUGAGGUGUGCAUAGGUCUGUGACGUGCUGGGUCUGUGAGGUGUGUACGGGUCUGUGAGGUGUGCAUGGGUCUGUGACAUGUGCUGGGUCUGUGAGGUGUGCAUGGGUCUGUGAGGUGUGCACGUGCCUGUGAUGUGUACUGUAUCUGUGAGGUGUGCACGGGUCUGUGAGGUGUGCAUGGGUCUGUGACAUGUGCUGGAUCUGUGAGGUGUGCAUGGGUCUGUGACGUGUGCUGGAUCUGUGAGGUGUGCACGGGUCUGUGACAUGUGCUGGAUCUGUGAGGUGUGCACGGGUCUGUGACAUGUGCUGGGUCUGUGAGGUGUGCACGGGUCUGUGACAUGUGCUGGGUCUGGGUCUGUGAUGUGUGCAUGUGCUUAUGGAGUAUGCUGGAUCUGUGAGGUGUGCAUGGGUCUGAGAGGUGUGCAUGGGUCUGUGACACGUGCUGGGUCUGUGGGGUGUGCAUGGGUCUGUGACAUGUGCUCGGUCUGUGAUGUGUGCACGUGCCUGUGAAGUGUGCUGGGUCUGUGAGGUGUGCAUAGGGUGGGUGAGGUGUGCACGUGCCUGUGAAGUGUGCAUGGGUCUUCAGUGUGUCUGCAUCUGGCAUGUGAGAGAUCCAGCAGUGCCAUACUGUCCCUGAAAUUAGGGGAAAACAAUGAGAAACCCAAA